rnacentral:lncRNA from 1 species
UUGGAAAGUGAUUUCCGUUUUUUUUGCAGUGUAACUACAUCUGCUGCAGGCUCACAGGAGAAGGAAGCAGCUCAGGAGAUAACACUGAUGGAUUAGUGGAAUGAGAAACUUGUUCCAAAGGCAUCUUUGCUACUGAUCCUGUUUGUCUCACUUAAAUGAAAAGGAGAGUUUGGGGAAAUCCUCCAGGAACCAGAAAUAAAUGAUUUGGAGGAAUUCCUAAGGAGAAAAUGAAUGGAUGUCAUUGUUAUGAGAACUCUCCUCUCUCUAAAUAAAUGCUCUCAACAGCAGUGAUAAUGUCUUUCAGUAAGGAACAUCAAAGACUGUCAUCAAAGAGACAGGCUCUUCAAGAAGAACAAAAAGAGACGAAUCACCAACCACAUCAGAGGUGUGAGCUGAGC